rnacentral:rRNA from 1 species
CAGCCGCCGCGUAAUACAGAGGGUGCGAGCGUUAAUCGGAUUUACUGGGCGUAAAGCGUGCGUAGGCGGCUAAUUGAGUCGGAUGUGAAAUCCCCGAGCUUAACUUGGGAAUUGCAUUCGAUACUGGUUAGCUAGAGUGUGGGAGAGGAUGGUAGAAUUCCAGGUGUAGCGGUGAAAUGCGUAGAGAUCUGGAGGAAUACCGAUGGCGAAGGCAGCCAUCUGGCCUAACACUGACGCUGAGGUACGAAAGCAUGGGGAGCAAACAGGAUUAGAUACCCCGGUAGUCCCUGUCUCUUAUACA